AGGAAGGAAAGAAUAGGUUCUAGUGCCACCGAUCUUACAUUUGGAGAUGAUAUUGAGGAAGAUAAACGAGAAUAAUGUCGCUCAGACUUGUAUAGUAGUGUUUCAUAUGACGUCACCUUUUACAAUAAGUCUGUAAAUAUCAUAUAUACAAAUGGUUUUGUAUGCGGAAUAUGUCAUUUAGUAAUGGGGAAACAGAGAGGCAGUGUCAUUUGAUCAAAAUCAUAAUUGCAGAUGAUAUGUACCACCACCACCACCACGUAAGAACAGUUGUCUAAAACAUUUUAACUGUUGUGAUAGAAUCAUCCCCCAGCUUAGUUUUAGAUGACUAUAAUCCUUUAUCUGUAUGCCUUUCGAUUUUCAUGCCCUUUUGUUUUGAGCUUUUCAUACCAUAUUUUCUGUAGGCCUUAUCUGUAAUUAGCAAUGAGUUUUAAAAUUACAGUUUUAAGUAAAGUAUAGUUAAUGUUAUUGGAAUACCGCAGAAAGCAAAAACGUUAUUUACUUGUGGCACAACCUUAUGUAAUGUUGGAAUAACAAUUGUCAUUAACCGACUAAAGGUUACUUUGGUUCCUAAAGUAAAAAAUCAAUAUUUUCCCAAAUUGAAUCUCAAAAGGAAAAUGAAUGGUUGCUAAGGUGGCAGGCAGUGGCACGAUGAUGAAUCAGGCUGCGGUUAUGGUGCAUAGAAAUUCUUAUGCACCCUGCAUAAAUUCAGAAAUGAUUUCUGUGAGUUGUACUCUAAAAUUAUUAGAUUUAUGUGAGUUUACUUCAAAAUCAUUUGUGAAUUUAUGGAGGGUGCGUAAGAAUUUCCUUAUGCAUCAUAACCACAUUCGAUGAAUCACACUUACUUACUUACUACCAACUCUCACUGUGAAGUACUCAUUGUUCGUUAAUCACGAUGAUCAUCAUCAAAUUUCAGAUUCUCAGCUUUUUCAUCUACCUCUUGUUUCUUCUUCUUUUUCUACCAAACAAUGUUCACGCUUCAAUCCAUUACUACUCCAAACAACCCUUCACUCACCGCUCCAAUGCUUUCUUCUUCCAUGCCGGCGCUGAAGCUCUAUUCUCCUCUUCCUUCAUCCGCUUCGAAUCCAUCUCCUUCACUCGCCCCAAACACUCCGCCAUCAUCCACGGCCAAAUGCAGCAGAACACCGGUCUCAUCGAAUCCAUCAUUCUCGAAGUCAAAGACCGUAACCGUAUCGGUGGUUUUUAUUUCAAUCCCAAAUCUGAUUUAAUUUGCUGCGACCCAUUUCUCUCUAAAACCCAAAAUUGUAAUCUUGGCGAAGUUAUCAUUCAUAACAACCCCCAAAAUCCUAACUUUCCCAAAAGGCUCAAAACUUUUUUUCAAGGUACUAAUCAAAUUGCUCAUAUGGAUCCUCAAACUGUUCAAAUUAAUGCUACUGGGAUUUAUUAUUUGUAUUUUAUGUUUUGUGAUCCUAAUCUGGAAGGUACCACUUUUACUGGUAGAACUGUUUGGAGAAACCCUAAUGGUUAUCUUCCUGGAAAAAUGCAACCUUUCAUCACCCUUUAUGCUUUUAUGUCUUUGGCUUAUCUUUUACUUGGUUUGGCAUGGUUUUUGAGAUUUCUUCACUUUUGGAAAGAGAAGGAUGUUGUUCAUGUUCAUCUUCAUUAUCAUAUUACUGCCGUCAUUGCGCUUGGAAUGGUUGAGAUGGCAUUUUGGUAUUUUGAGUAUGCUAAUUUUAAUGCUACUGGUAGUAGGCCUAUGGGAAUUACUAUAUGGGCUGUUACUUUUACUUCUGUUAAGAAGACGCUUUCCAGGUUGCUUUUGUUGGUUGUGUCUAUGGGAUAUGGUGUUGUUAGGCCAACGCUCUUUGAGGGUUUUGUAUCUAGAGUUACGGUUCUUGGGGGGUUCUAUUUUGUUGCAUGUGAAGUGUUUGAGCUUUUUGAGCAUUUGGGAAACAUCAAUGACUUUUCUGGGAAAUCUAAACUGUUGUUGGUGCUACCUGUUGUUUGCCUUGACUCAUGCUUCAUUCUAUGGAUCUUCUCUUCCUUGUCUAAAACCUUGGAGAAACUGCAGGCAAUUAUCUAACUUUUAUGAUUGUAGUAAAUUAUAACCACUGCCUCUAAUUUAUGUUGGGUUAUGUGUUUUUAAUCACAUUGUGGGAGUAUAGUCCUAAAUAUUGAUUGUAGUAAAUCUGCAUUAGUCCUUUAUGCUAGAAUGGCUAGACCGAACUCCCAUGGUCGCGUUGGUGACAUUUAAUGAGAAUCUAUUUUUUUAUAAGUGAUAUUGUAAAAUAGUAAUUUUUCAUUAGAUAUCAACUGAUUUUUCAUUAGAUAUUAACUCCUAUGUAAUCUUGUAUUUAGAUGGGUUCCAACCCCUGUUGGGGAUAGGUAGGACAGGUUUACUUAUUAAGGUUUGUGGUUUUUAUAAAUGUGGAAUAUGGCCUUUUUGUGACCUUGUAGAAGAUAUGUGAGUUAGGCUUAUCAUUUCUGCAUAUUCUUAUUUUCUAUUUGUUGUUUAUUUGGAUGUAGACAAGGAGAAACUUGGCUAAACUGGAGAUCUACCGAAAAUUUACAAAUACCCUUGCAGUGUCUGUGCUACUGUCCAUUGCAUGGAUUGGCUUUGAGGUAAUUCUUACAAAAUAUAUUUGAUGUAUUAGAAUAAACAAUUUUAGAGCUGCAAAUCAUAUGUGCUCUCCCCUGAGAAGUAUCCAAGCAUUUUUUUCAGAAAAACUAAAAUAAAUUUGAGAUAAUAUUGCUAACAAUAAUUUGUUACUGUGAUCAACCAGCUGUACUUCAAUGCAACUGAUCCUUUAAGCGAGCUGUGGCAAAUUGCUUGGAUUAUUCCCACUUUCUGGUGCCUGCUAUCAUAUACUCUAUUGCUGGUGAUAUGUGUUCUUUGGGCUCCUUCUCGUAACCCUACUAGGUAUGUCCUUUAUGGGGUCUUCAUGAAUGGUGUUAUUAAGAGGGUUACAUGUCUGUUUAAUGCUAAUCAUAUAUGAAACUUUAUUUAGAAUGUCCAUCCAUUGCUAGUUAUGUUAGUUGUUGUAAAUUGUAACAGAAAAUGAUGUUUUGGAUCUACCUUGUGCUAAUGUAAUUUUUUCAUCAUUUCGUUGCGAACUUGCAAUUUAUGCUGCACACUUUGGUGGUUAUCGGUCUUGUGUGUUUUGUAAACUUUUAGAUGAACUAGUUUUGUAAACUCUUAGAUGAACUAGGAUAGGUUUCUUUUAACUUGUAGAUAAAAAUGCUAGUUUUCAUUUGAUAUCUUUAUACCUUUCUUGCCAAGGCAAUUAUUGCUACUUCUUGCACACUGCUACAUAUGCCAUGAUGGGUUUCUAUUGUAUUUAAUGAUCAAUAAUAGGUUUAUUACUAGGGAAGCAGGGAUUAAUGCAUACUCCUUUUGACCAAAUGCCUUAUUUUCUAGAUAGAUAACACAUCCUGCCACUUUUCAGUCCAAUUGUCAACAAAUACCGUUUACAAAAUUUCUCUGCCUAUACAUGUUGUUUGUGAAGAACUUUAGGUCAUCUGAUCAAUGAAAGUGAUGAAAAAUCUUUGAUUGUUGUUAUACUAGUCUCUAGCCUUAUGGUGAAUUUUGAGAAGAUUUAGAUUAGGUAUUUAUUGCCAAUUUAACCCAAAAGUGGCAUGGAAAAACACAGGACUCCUGAGAAGUUGCAUUAGUAACUCAAUAAUCUGUUUUUACCUCCAUCAUUUGAUUCAUUUCACUUUCUCUCUAAUUCUCCUGAUUCACGGGAACUAAAUGUUAUCCCACCUUUUUUGUUUUUGCUGGUGUCUACGUCGAAAGACUGAUUGCAUUUGUAUAUUUUAUUUCUAGAUAUGCAUACCUAGAGGGAACAAAUGACUUUGACGAGGAGGGUAUCUCUCUAACAAGCAGUGUAGCAAAGAUGACUGGAGAUGUGGCAUCCAAGCUUGAGCGGAAGGAAAGAAUAGGUUCUAGUGCCACCGAUCUUACAUUUGGAGAUGAUAUUGAGGAAGAUAAACGAGAAUAAUGUCGCUCAGACUUGUAUAGUAGUGUUUCAUAUGACGUCACCUUUUACAAGAAGUCUGUAAAUAUCAUAUAUACAAAUGGUUUUGUAUGCGGAAUAUGUCAUUUAGUAAUGGGGAAACAGAGAGGCAGUGUCAUUUGAUCAAAAUCAUAAUUGCAGAUGAUAUGUACCACCACC
rnacentral:lncRNA from 1 species